rnacentral:misc_RNA from 1 species
GAUGAAGAACGCAGCGAAAUGCGAUACGUAAUGUGAAUUGCAGAAUUCAGUGAAUCAUCGAAUCUUUGAACGCAUAUUGCGCUCUCUGGUAUUCCGGAGAGCAUGCUUGUUUGAGUAUCAGUAAACACCUCAACUUCCAUAUCUUUUUUGAAAUGGGAGUUGGACUUGAGUGAUCCCAACGCUUUUCCUCACCGAAAAGCGGCGGGUUACUUGAAAUGCAGGUGCAGCUGGACUUUUCUCUGAGCUAUAAGCAUAUCUAUUUAGUCUGCCUAAAAAACAGAUUAUUACCUUUGCUGCAGCUAACAUGAAGGAGAUUAGUUCUUGUGCUGACUGAUGCAGGAUUCACAAAGACAGGCUUCGGCCGACUUUGUAAACUCGAUCUCAAAUCAAGUAAGACUACCCGCUGAACUUAAGCAUAUCAAUAAGCGGAGGA